rnacentral:rRNA from 1 species
UUUAAAGAGAGUUUGAUCCUGGCUCAGGACGAACGCUGGCGGCGUGCCUAAUACAUGCAAGUAGAACGCAGAGGUCAGGUGCUUGCACUAGACUGAUGAGUUGCGAACGGGUGAGUAACGCGUAGGUAACCUACCUGAUAGCGGGGGAUAACUAUUGGAAACGAUAGCUAAUACCGCAUAAAAGCCAAUGACCCAUGUCAUUGGCUUGAAAGAAGCAAACGCUACACUAUGUGAUCGACCUGCGUUGUAUUAGCUAGUUGGUAGGGUAAAGGCCUACCAAGGCGACGAUACAUAGCCGACCUGAGAGGGUGAUCGGCCACACUGGAACUGAGACACGGUCCAGACUCCUACGGGAGGCAGCAGUAGGGAAUCUUCCGCAAUGGGCGAAAGCCUGACGGAGCAACGCCGCGUGAGUGAUGAAGGUCUUCGGAUCGAAAAACUCUGUUAUUAGGGAAGAACA